AUGAGGCCACGCCGGGAGCAGGGCCGCUCCGGCGCUUUCCUCCUCCUCCCGUCCCUCUCCUCCCUCACCCCAGAGAUGCUAGGUCCUGCCUCCCUCCCAGGAGGACAGGCAUCAGGGCUGGCUCCAGUCCUCCCCCACACUACCCCAGGUUCUCCUUCCUGCAGACUAAAUUUAGAGGGCUGGGUGUUGCUCGAACUACCAGCAAGGCCUGCUCCAUGACUGUUUCCUGAAGCAACAGACACCCUUGAAAUCUUACUCUGGGAGAAGCCAGUCACCAUGUGGGAAGGACACUGAAGCAACCCUGGGGCAGCCCACAGGACACGGAACUGAGCCCCCCCAUGAACAGCCAAACCGUCCUGCCAAGCAUGUGAACGCACCAUCUCAGAAGCAAAUCCUCCUGUCCCCUUCAGAUGUCUGCAGUGCUGGCUGACACUGUGACUGCAACCUCAUGAGAGAGCUCAAGCCAGAACCACCCAACUAAACUGCUACCAAAUUCCCGACCUACAGAA